ensembl:snoRNA SNORD39 Small nucleolar RNA SNORD55/SNORD39
AGUGGAUGAUGACAGUUUGGUAAUGUAAAUUCCUGAUUGUGCAGUGGGGAGCCAACCUCGGAGGGCCUAACAUGUG